rnacentral:rRNA from 1 species
UUACGGUCAAAUCACGCUGAAAACAUCGGUUCUCGUUCGAUCACCGAAGUUAAGCAUCGUAGAGCCAGGUCAGUACUUAGAUGGGGGACCGCUUGGGAACACCUGGUACUGUAAG